rnacentral:rRNA from 1 species
AAAGCUCAAAUUUGAAAUCUGGCUCUUUUAGGGUCCGAGUUGUAAUUUGUAGAAGAUGUUUCGGGUGUGGCUCCGGUUUAAGUUCUUUGGAAUAUUACAUCAUAGAGGGUGAGAAUCCCGUAUGUGACCGGCAGCCUUCGCCUAUGUGAAACUCUUUCGACGAGUCGAGUUGUUUGGGAAUGCAGCUCAAAAUGGGAGGUAUAUUUCUUCUAAAGCUAAAUAUUGGCCAGAGACCGAUA